AAAUGGAACUUUGUUUUAGGUGAUUAGUCACAAUCAAGAUCACUUGUUUCCUCAACAACAUGUGACUUGACGAUCCCAGCCAAGGCGGGGUUUAGGGGUGAGCUGGCUUUGACAGCAGCAAAUGUUUUAACCAACAUUUCAGGGCAUUUUUUAGCAUAUAAUAGUUGAUAUUUCCUUGUAGUGCCCAUCAGCCAAAAACCAACUCCCCACCCCUUCUUGAUAAUAAUAAUAAUAAAAAAAA
rnacentral:misc_RNA from 1 species